GACGAACGCUGGCGGCGUGCUUAACACAUGCGAGUCGAACGGAAAGGCCCUGCUUUUGUGGGGUGCUCGAGUGGCGAACGGGUGAGUAACACGUGAGUAACCUGCCCUUGACUUUGGGAUAACUUCAGGAAACUGGGGCUAAUACCGGAUAGGAGCUCCUGCGGCAUGGUGGGGGUUGGAAAGUUUCGGCGGUUGGGGAUGGACUCGCGGCUUAUCAGCUUGGUGGUGGGGUAGUGGCUUACCAAGGCUUUGACGGGUAGCCGGCCUGAGAGGGUGACCGGCCACAUUGGGACUGAGAUACGGCCCAGACUCCUACGGGAGGCAGCAGUGGGGAAUAUUGCACAAUGGGCGGAAGCCUGAUGCAGCAACGCCGCGUGCGGGAUGACGGCCUUCGGGUUGUAAACCGCUUUCGCCUGUGACGAAGCGUGAGUGACGGUAAUGGGUAAAGAAGCACCGGCUAACUACGUG
rnacentral:rRNA from 1 species